CCUACGGGGGGCAGCAGUGAGGAAUAUUGGUCAAUGGGCGCAAGCCUGAACCAGCCAAGCCGCGUGAGGGAUGAAGGCCCUAUGGAUCGUAAACCCCUUUUAUAAGGGAAUAAAGUGCGGGACGUGUCCCGUUUUGUAUGUACCUUAUGAAUAAGGAUCGGCUAACUCCGCGCCAGCAGCCGCGGUAAUACGGAGGGUCCGAGCGUUAACCGGAUUUAUUGGGUGUAAAGGGUGCGUAGGCGGCCUUGUAAGUCAGCGGUGAAAGUCUGUGGCUCAACCAUGGAAAUGCCGUUGAGACUGGGAGACUAGAGUGUGUUAGAGGCGGGCGGAAUGCGAGGUGUAGCAGUGAAAUGCUUAGAUAUCUGGAAGAACCCCGAUGGCGAAGGCAGCCUCCCGGGCCAUGACUGACGCUGAUGCACGAAAGCGUGGGGAGCAAACAGGAUUAGAUACCCGAGUAGUC
rnacentral:rRNA from 1 species